UCUGUUGCUAUGCGCGUCACUGCUUUUGCUCCACAGAUCUUGACACUGACAGUUGGAGUUCGUUGGCGCCGUCGUACAAUUGUAAUCAAAUCAUUUCUCUUUUUACAGUACACAUUUGUAAUACUGUGUUUUUUCCCCCUCAGAAAACUACAUUUAUCAAUCGAUAUGGAUCACUUAAGAGCGGUAUAUCGCUACCUCAGCACAGGUGAGUAUCCUGAACAAGCCACCAAAGAGGGGUAUCAGAAAGAAAGCCAGUACAUUCGUUUUGAAAGGUAAGUACCUGUAUGUCCCUGAGAAGAAUGGAGAGUGUCUCUGUAGGGUUGUGACCGAUGAAGAGGAGAAGACUGCCAUUCUCAAUGAAGUUCACGCAGGACACUUUGGGAUCAAGAGAAUGAUGGGGAAAAUCAUUCAACGAUUUUACUGGAAAGGGAUUGUAAAGGACGUGGAGCAAUGGAUCCUGAAUUGUGAAGCAUGCCAGAGAUUUGAGAGGGUGAAGACUGUUGCCCCAGAACUGAAGCCAAUCAAAGUUGUUUCUCCAUGGUACAUGAUCGGUCGUAUCACUGCUGCAGUACAGUGGAAAGACAGUUUGGAUCGGGUGGCCACAUGUACAGCAGCAGCAGGGAUGUAGUGACUGUGGACUGUUUACCAUCGCAAACAGCCUCACACUCUGCAUGGGUGAAGAUCCAGGUAAGUUAUGAUCAAAAGCAAAUGCGUGAUCAUCUUUUUUCUUGUUUUGUAGCUGGAUCUCUUACUCCUUUCUCGAGCUGUGAGAGAACUCCCCUCCCAGAGGUACAUUUCCGUGAUGUGGAGGUCUACUGCACAUGCAGACCAUACAGGAUUGGACUGGAGCUGAUGGUGGAAUGCGGGAGGUGUGGCGAAUGGUUCCAUGGCCAGUGUGAAGAUCUACAGCCAGAUGACCUCAUAAGUAUGGAGGAGUAUAUGUGCUCCAUUUGCAGAGUUACACACAUGGGUAAGCAUGUAAGUAAAGGUGAAACAGAUUUAUUAUUUUGUUUUUUACUAUAUGUUUUUUUGAACAUUUUAUACUAAGCAUUCCAGCUUAGUAUAUUAUACUAACACUAAAAUUUGGUAAUGCCUGUCAAACAACUUUACCAUAAUUUAUAGCUAUUUACAUAUGUACAGUAGGGCAUUGUUAAUAAGGCUCAUUGUCUUCAGUGUUUAUUUUUCAUGAGCACACAACUACUUAUUUUGAAGACUUUUUUUUUCAGGAGACCUUGAUUCUGUAUUGAGACGUUUUUAUUUGGAGAAAUAUUGCAGAUGCUUUUGCACUUUCAUUUUUAAUUGGUAUGGUAGUCUUAGUUUCUGAGCUACUGAAUUAUUGCCUGACUUGAGUAUUUCCAGGGCAGAGAUAUCCAAAGUAAACUGGAUGUCAGUUCUAACACCCACCUUGUUUAAUGUAGUUAUUGUGAACCAGCUGGGGGAGGGGUUGAUUCACUGUAUUGAAGUGAAAUUGUGCCAAAUAAGGUGGGUGUAACAUGAUAUAAAAGUACAGUAAAUGUAAUUCUGAAGUAGUAAACAACUUCACAUUUUACAUGUACAUGUUUCAGACAGUACAUGUAAUGCUUCAAUUUCAAAUUCGAUUUCCAUUCCUAUUAAAUGAUAUUAGACAAUUACAUACUAUACAAGUUAACAGUAUGAAAUGUCAUUUUUAGACAGACAGCCUCUUUAAAGUCUUUCUUUUUUUGUGGGUUAUGUGAGAAGGCAUUUUAAAGUUCUGUUAAACCUGCUCCUAACAACCCACUCCAUAGGUCAGGACCUUGACGUGGUGA